rnacentral:rRNA from 1 species
UACGAAGGGGGCUAGCGUUGCUCGGAAUCACUGGGCGUAAAGCGCACGUAGGCGGCUUUCUAAGUCAGGGGUGAAAUCCUGGAGCUCAACUCCAGAACUGCCUUUGAUACUGGAGAGCUUGAGUCCGGAAGAGGUGAGUGGAACUCCGAGUGUAGAGGUGAAAUUCGUAGAUAUUCGGAAGAACACCAGUGGCGAAGGCGGCUCACUGGUCCGGUACUGACGCUGAGGUGCGGAAAGCGUGGGGAGCAAACAGG